GCCGAGGCUGGAGUCUCGCCCGGGCAUGGCAUUGCCCGGUCGUGCUGGAAUCCUCCGAGAGCAGCCGCUGGCCGUAUCCGCAGGCCGUGGCCCCGUGGCCGGGCCGGUCUCCAGGCCAGGGACAGGC
ensembl:snoRNA